GAAGGAGGCCCUUCGGGAUCGGCAAUCAGGUGCUGAUCUCAAGCCACCGCAAGCUGCUGCAGUCAAAAGCCGUGGUGGUGAACGUUGCGGAAACGUCGGGACAAGAUCCCGGCAGGC
rfam:Bradyrhizobium sp. BR 10245 contig96, whole genome shotgun sequence.